GUGCCAUUUAUACUCAUGCUGUCCCCGAGCUCCAGCUGUGCACACUUCCUUACCUGCCUGUCUAACUGGUGUCUAAACAUUUGCAUCUCCAGAAUGACUCCUGACCUGCCCCACAAUAUCUGCCUUAGGCAUCCACAUCUGAGGACGGCAACUCCCUUCUCAUUCUUCCAAUCUCUGAGGCCAACAUUGGGAGGCAUGACUGACUACUUUUCUUUCCUCUCAAACCCCCAUCUAUUCAGCACAUUCAGUUGGCUUUACUUUCAAAAGAUAUAACCUGAAUGUGACCACUUCUUGUCACUUCCACUCUGCCACUCAGGUCUAACCGCCAUCUUACCUCACCUGGGUUGUCACCUCCUCCCUGGCCUCCCUGCCUGCCCUAGAUUCCAAACACAAAUCUAGUGAGAAGAGCCUGUGAAAAUGUGAGCCACUCUCGGCCCCAAGCCCUCCAAUGGCCAGGAAAUGGCAGAGUUUUACAGUGGCCGAAAGCCCUCUGUGAUUGCCUACUCCAUGACCUCAUUGGUUUCUCUUUCUGAUUUUCUCACCCUUGUUCCCUCAGUGGGGUCACACAGCCUUCCCUGGUGUCCCUGCAGUAUGCUAUCCUGCUGCUACCUUAGGGCUUUUCUGCUCGCCGUCACUCUGGGGAAAGGCUCAGCCCCCAAGGAUCCCAUGCCUUCUUUUCUUCCUUCCAUCAGAUCUGCACUCAGAUGUCACCUUGGUGGUGAAUUCUUCCCUGGUCAUCCUGUUUAAAAUUGCCACGCCUCUCCCACACUUCCUAGUUCUUAUUCCAUCUUUUUCUUUCUAGCACUUAGCAACCUGUAACAUGCCAUGCAUUUUACUUGUCAUUUGUGUUUGUGUCACCCCACUGGAGGGUGGGUUCUUUGCCAGCGUCUGCUGGGUUUGCCCACUGCUUAGAACUGUUUCUGGUGCAUAGUCGGUACAAAACAAAUAUUCCUUGAGUGACUGUAGGGAAGAAGCUUUCACAAAACAGAAAAGUGUAAUUAAUUGCCCAUUUCAGCCUCCUCAACUCUAGGCUUCAUUUAAAAUUUCAAGUUCUUGUGUAAUCCAAAAGAGAACAAAACUGAAUUAAACAUUGCCUCAAAUGAUAUCUGGUUUCCAAGGACAUAUAGGUGAAAUUAUAAUUUAGGUUGCUGUGGAUAUGCUUAUACAUAUAAAAUAUUUAUGACAAAUAUAGUAUUUGUACAAGAAAAUUACUAUGGAUUUGCAAAUCGAUUCAUAUAAAAUUAAUUUUCUUAUGGGACAUUAAAUAUAAGUAACUUUAAAUUUUCUGAAUUAUAUUUACUUAAAAAUAUCACUGGCAAUAUCUUUGAGGGUUACUAUUUUUUUGGAUGAAAUUUGUGACAAUGAUUCCUCCUUUGGCUUCUUCAGCAAUAUGUUAAAACUGGCAUGGAAACUUUGAAUAGCUUUUGAAUUUUUGCCUUGUUUGAAAUUUAACAAUUACUGAUGUAAUCAAUACCAUAUGGUACAAAUUUUGAAUUCUGCAUGACUUGUAUUUCAAAAUGAUGGCUAUUGCCUUCAUUCUACUUUACGUUUAACACGAGUAUUUGGAAAACCUGAGUAGUGAGUAUUCUGGUUAGUAGAACGAUUAUUUACUCCAGGUAAAAGGGAGGAUUCAUUUCUUUAUCUUGGAAGUCUCUAAAAUACAUACUGAUACAUUUCCAUCCCAAGUUAACAAGUCUCUUAAGAAGAGAUUUUGCUGGUGGCAGGGACGGGGGAAGGGGCGGCAGGCGCCAUGUCCGGCCGCGAAGGUGGCAAGAAGAAGUCCCUGAAACAGCCCAAGAAGCAGGCCAAGGAGAUGGACGAGGAAGAUCAGGCUUCAAGCAGAAACAAAAAGAAGAGCAGAAGAAACUCAAGGAACCAAAAGCGAACGCUGCGGGAAGGGCCCCCUGACCACAAGUGGAAUUAAGAAAUCUGGCAAAAAGUAAGCUGCUCCUGGUCCCUGAGGAGAUGGUGACCCUUUAUUUCAUCCAUGUUUAAACAUCUGUAUUCCCUGCCAUAGCAUCUUUUGCUACCUACAGCUGGAAUUAAGUGUUGUCUUAGAGCUGCUGUACAUUUAAGAAUAAACUUUUGUAAAAAAAAAAAAAAAAAAUCUGACAGUAGCUCAUCAAUUCUUUUGUUGUUUUCACUAAGUCAUUCCUACCAUAACUGUGAAUUUAAAGUAAAACCAACUCAGAAUCUUGCCAGAGUCUGCUCUUUGGUCCGCGUUCUACCCUAACCUUGGUAUCACCUGGAAUUAAACCAAUUCGUUUGAAAGGAAAAAAAAA